UAUUUUCAUGAAAAAAAUAUGUCUGCAGUUCUUAUACACUUGAAUGUACAAAAUAUAAUUGCUCUCCUUUUUCUCCCAAUAGUGCUAUUUUACCCAGUGAAAAUUUGAUUUAUUUGUUAGGAUAAAACUUUAAAUAAAUUGUUGUGGCUGGCCUUCCUCCCCUCCUUGUUUUUUAAAAACUCAAAAUAUGUAUUUUUCAAGACUGUGACUUGUGAACAUCAGUGUUAAAUAUGAAAUUAUAAAAUCAAAAGUUUUAUUUAUACAAAAAGAUUUUGGUGCCUUAUAAAUGUGUGGUCCAAUUUCUUCAUAUAAGUAAAAUAUGUAAUAUUCAAACUAUUUUUAAUAAGUAUUUAAGAAACGGGGUUGCCUACAAAGGACAAGAACAAGAUUUCUUCCAGGUCAAUAUCAAAGUCUCAUCCUUUGUGGGUAACUCUGUGUACAUUUUGAAAGACAGAAAACAUUUAGUUAGAAGACGACAAUAAAUGAAUCCCUCCGGUAUACUUUUUCUUGAUAAACGUAGAUGUAUUCUAGCCAGAAGAUUAUUAAUAUAUAAUAGAUUAAUUUGCUCCAACUUA